GGGCGAGUGGCGGAACGGUAGACGCGCUAGGUUUAGGACCUAGUGGGAGCAAUCCCGUGGAGGUUCAAGUCCUCUCUCGCCCA
rnacentral:tRNA from 1 species